ACAAGCAACACUCUGUAAGUUUAUUACCAAAUAUAACCUAAGCACAAACACAACUAAGCUAAUGAGAUUGGCAAAGUAGCAGCACAAAAUGUAAGGAAAAACACAUUUAAUAAAUACAACUUGGAAACGUCUUUUUCUUUAAAUUAGGUUCAGAUACUGGGAGACAAACACUGAAGCAAAAGUCUUAACAACGCACUUACAAGCCAUCAUAACGUGCAGUGAUCCUGCUGGACACUGUCCACUCACAACCAUGCUAACGGGGGCCACUCCCUGCUGCCGUACCAUCAUAUGAAUAUACAUUUGUCAGUGAAAAUGUCACAAAAAUGUGACAUUUGUCCAGGUUUGUGUGUUUUCAUAAAGUUACUCAGGUUUUCAGAGAAUGAACAUAGGAACAUGUAGGAUCCACAAUUUUUAAGGUCAUCACAUUAGUUUGUAUUUAUGAAACUAUAAGAAAACAGAUGUGUGUCAUGUUUGACACUGCUGCUUUGAAUGCAAUACUUCCAAAUAAUGAAGCUGACCACAACAAAGAAGGGAAAAGUAAUUCAGACGUUUCAGAGAGGCCUUAUUUGGAAUAUAAACGCUUUGCUAGGGAAAGAAAGACGAAAUAUUUUAAACAAUUUCAAGAUUAAAAAGGAAAGUUAAUGGGAGGAGGGCAACAGCAGGAGGGAAGGAUGUGCUUAAAAGAAACAAAUCUGCAUAGACGAUGAACUGAAUUUAAUUCAAUUCAUUCCUGCCUAAAACUAAGUCUGGUUAACUGAGGUAGACUCUGGGAAUUACACGUGCAAAGAUCAGGUUUUCCAAAGGGCAAUAUUUUGUCAUUUCAGAUAUGGUAAAGUAAAAGUGCAUUUUAUAGUUUCAAAUAAUCAAAUGGGAGUCCUUUUAUAGGAGGGAAACUUCUCUAUACUAAUUCCCUAUUUUUUUGUGCCAAAUUUCCAAAUAUACAAAAACCUACACACUGCUGGUAAUAAGGCAAUAUCCAGGGUUUUUUCAUUUAUUUUCUCAGGAAACGAGAAAAGUAAAAUAAAUUUUAUGACAUUACCUAAACAUCUUUCCUGUUUUUAUUAAUAAGUCACUGGGAAUUCAGAAAUAACAUUAAAGCUAAAGAGUUGUCUGCAGCCAAAAAACCCAAUAAAAAUUCAAAGAUCUAUUUGUUAAUGAGGUGAAUGUUUAAAAAUAUACCUACUAUCCUAAGAAUUUGAUUAUUAAAAUACACAAUUUCCACAUUAAGAAACAAAUAUUAAAAGCAAAUGUCAAAAAAAUUAAAUAAGUACGAAAAGCCAAAUUUAAAAGUAUAAAUAACUAAACUUACAAUAAUCACAACAGAGUUUUUAGCUUUCUGUAAAAAUAGUUAGUGGAGAUGAGACUAAAACAUUUGAAGCUUAAAUAUUUUUAUCCCCCAACAUGUCCCCCAACUAUAAUUUCUUUUUUCUAUUGUGACAUAUUCUUAGGUUCACAUAAAUAUUAUGUGCAUCACAAAUUAAGCGGUUUCUUAAAAAUAUACAAUCAAAACCGUUUAAGAAAAAAAAGGUACAUAAAAGAGAAUAGUUAGGACUUUUCCCUCACACGAGUUAAGGUGGCCUUUUCUUGGAAAAGGCCAGCAUUCACCCUUAACAUUUUAUGCCUGUCAUACAGAAUAUACCCUAAAGUGAUUUAUCACUAAUAAGAUAAAACUUAUCUUAAGAGUGGGAAUCCACUAUUAGGCAGAGAAAGACUCAAUAACCUAGGCAAUAUUGAGGCAACCAAAGUCCACUCACACAACAUGAAAUACUUGCCUAGGUCCUUCAUUUUAUCUCAUGUUAGGGUGGGGAGAAAGUGAAUCAUAGCUACCUCAGCUGGUUACUGUUUCAUGAUUCUCAUCACAGAUUUAGCAGUGUAUAUAAAAACUUAUUCCUAAGGAAGGAAUUUAAAUGAACUCAGGCUAUCCAAAACUUAAGAGUACUAACAAUUUUAUGUUCAACAGAGUCAGGCUACAUAAAGCAAAGUCAAAUAAUGACAAUCAUACUGUAAAUUUGGGUUGUACACACACAUUUUCCCCUGGUGUAUGUAUAUGACCAUAGAUUCACCAGGUAUUGGUUUGCUUAGUUUUUGAGCAAUUCGUGCUCUAAGCCUACGUUUUGAGAGUGAAAUAUGACUUCCCAAAAACUGUGAUCUCAGAAGCUGAAAUUAAGCCCCAAGCUAUAGAGCUAGACCACCACGUUUUCCCCUUCCAAAAUGGCUCGGUAUUGUGGGAGGCAGUGGUCAGAUCCGAAAGUGUGUAGAUACAGUCUGUGAUGCCACCAUCUAUUGUCUACUUGGAUCACUAGAAGGUUGCAGCUUCCAUUAAAGAGGGGUUUGAUAUAUUUCACUAAUAUUAAUUUCCUUUAAAAAAAGAAAUUAUGGGGCAAAAGGUUUAAACAUGUUAUGCUUAUAAUAGGCAGCUUGGGAAAUGGUAAAAAUUGUUCAUUAAAAUAGAUCUAUAAUAGUUACACACUAUUCAAACAAAUGGAUAUCAGUUCUAAUUUCAAAACAGAUUUAAAGUGCUAAAAGGAGGGGGAAACACUUUUAUAUAUUAUUUUUCCAAAGUGCAAACAGAUUACUAUGCCUCUCCAUCAGUGAUCUUGUUUCAGUAGCAGAAGCCAGAAGCUAUAUAGAGCCGUUAGAGAAACUGCCAAGUUGGAACUGUACUCUCUAGUCCAGCUUUGUCUUGGUCCACAGAGCUCCCACCCACUGUGUCUUGGACCAACCAAUACACAUCUACAGAAUGUAGGGACUAUCUGAUCAGAUAUCUGCAAAGUAGACUUAGCUUAGUCCUACAGUCAUUGUGCUGCAGAACUCAAAAUACUCAUGUUUUCAGAGGAAUUAAAGGAGCCAAAUAUUUUUCCUUUGAUAAUGCAUCUGCUACCGCAACACAGAAUAACAAAACAAAACGAAGCAAAACAAUUCAAUCUCAUUCUGGGUAAGGCAACACACUGUCUUCUGCAAUAAAGACAGUCUGUGUG
ensembl:lncRNA